UCUGCUACCCCACAGCUCCUCUGGCCUGGGAUAUUUUGCUGCAGCUGCACCCAGUGGAGCAGCUGGGGAUGGCCCCAGGGGCCGGCGGCAGAUGCUGCCAGAUGUGCAGGGACCAGCACAGCUGGAGGGGCAGGUGGCACAGCUGGCACGUGCCUGUGGGCAGCCACUCCCCGGGGCUGGGACAGGAGGAGCAGGAGGCUGGGAUGUAAUUCCAGCCCCUGGGCAGAGCCCACAAGAGCAGGAAAGCUCCUGGCUCAGCUCUGGGAUGGUUCCCAUCGGGCGUGGCUGGCACCCCCGUGCCCUCACCUUUCUGUUGGACACUGACCAGGUCAGGAGUGUCCUGUGACAUGGGGACAGUGCAAAGGUCACAGCACAGCCCAGCCAGGGCUCAGCUGGAGGGUGCCAGCCCUUGGCUGUGCCUUCAGGUGCUGUGGCCAGGUCCUGGCACCCUGCAGCCCUCAGGAAUUCCAAGGAGCUGCUCCCCAAAGCAGGCAGUGCUGGUCAGGACCUUCGUGUGCCUGGAGCUGCUGAAUUCAGGGCAGAAGCAGAGGGAGGGCAGUGCCAGGAGAGAACUCCUGGAAAAAUAACCCACAAACCGUGGGAGGGAGCACGUGGAGAAGGGGACACCAAGGCAGGGCAUUCACUAAAGCUGGGAUCAAGCCCACAGUCCAAAUCUCCCUUUGGGGAUGGACAGGGAGGGCCCCACGUGUGGCCUCACUGCCCAGGGGUGCCUUUGCUCCCACAGCUCUCCCAGAGCAGCACAGCCAUGCACAGAACCCCCCACACAGAAACCCCCCCGUGCCUGAGCCAAAGGGAUCCUGCCUGGCACCACCUCAGCCUGGCAAACCAAGGAGGGGGAGAAAGCUUUGACAGAAAUGUGGAGGUGCUCUAAUCCCCACAGCCGGCCCAGGGAGAGGCCUCCACUAAUGAGGAGUGUAAUAGCCAGAGCCUUCCAUUCCAGAUGGUUUGGGGAAAACAUUUGGACAGCCAGCAGCAAGCUGGGAUGAGUCACCGCAGCCAACAGUGCAGGGUGAGCUUCAAGCAAUUUUCUUCAUGAUUAAAGUUGGGAACUU